UACAGAGGUCUCAAGCGUUGUUCGGAUUCAUUGGGCGUAAAGGGUGCGUAGGUGGCGCGGUAAGUCGGGUGUGAAAUUUCGGAGCUUAACUCCGAAACUGCAUUCGAUACUGCCGUGCUUGAGGACUGGAGAGGAGACUGGAAUUUACGGUGUAGCAGUGAAAUGCGUAGAUAUCGUAAGGAAGACCAGUGGCGAAGGCGGGUCUCUGGACAGUUCCUGACACUGAGGCACGAAGGUCAGGGGAGCAAACGGG
rnacentral:rRNA from 1 species